rnacentral:lncRNA from 1 species
GAGCAACCUUAUUAACCGAACCACAAUUUAAGUAAAAAAAGAAAAAAAAAAGUCCAGAAUGCACUAAAGGGAGGUUUCAUGAAAUCACCUGGGACUGACUGAGCCACAGUAGGAGAUCUGGAUUUAGGCCCUGUUCCGCUUCUUAUUUGGCUCCAUGACCUUGGGUAACUUAAAUCCUCUGAGGCUCAGCUUUCUCUUCUGUAAAGUGGCCUGAUGUGAUGCUGCCCUCUGAGGGUGUCAUGAAGCUAAAAUAUGAUCAAAUGUGUGACGCUCUUGUAAAAAAAACACUCAGUAAUUGUUCAUUAGCAUUGUCCUACAACCACCACCACCAAAAAAAAAAAAAAAAAAAAAAAAAGAAAGAAACAAAGAAAAGAAAAAAGAAGGGAAAAGAAAAGAAAGCAUUAUAAACAAAAUACCAGAGUACAUUGUUUUGCUCUGAGGAUGCCUGAAAUGCCACAUUAAGGCUGUUUGAUGGGAACCUCCAGAAAUAAGGAAGGGAAGAGGGGAAACUAAAGGAAUCUCUCAAUCUCUGGCUCCUCACUAUGAAUGAGAUACUGUAUGUUCUCUUGGAUUGGCUAUUUUUUUUCUUUUUCUUUUUCUUUUUUUUUUUAAUUUUUUUUUUUUUUUUUUGAGACAGAGUCUCACUCUGUCGCCCAGGCUGGAGUGCAGUGGUGCGAUCUCGGCUUACUGCAAACUCCGCCUCCUGGGUUCAUGCCAUUCUCCUGCCUCAGCCUCCCAAGUAACUGGGACUACAGGCGCCCACCACCACACCCAGCCAUUUUUUUGUAUUUUUAGUAGAGACGGGGUUUCACCGUGUUAUCCAGGAUGGUCUCGAUCUCCUGACCUCGUGAUCCGCCCCCCUCGGCCUCCCAAAGUGCUGGGAUUACAGGCGUGAGCCACUGCGCCCGGCUUUUUUUAAAGUUUCUGAGAUUCAACCAGAGCCUACUUAGAACUGGGUUGGCUUUUGUGGGACCUACAGGGAGGUGGCAGUGAGACCUAAGGUGUCAGAGAAGCAAAGGAGCACAGACUGGUGAAGGCUCGGGUGCCGAGGAAGCACCCCCAGCAUCACAAUUUUGUCCCAGUGUUGGGCAGAGGAGAAAUGUCCUUAGCUUGUCUCCUCUUCUCCCUCUCUCCCUCUUUCCUUUGCCUUCAUACCUUAAGUUGACUUUCCCAUCUUUCUCCUGGGAGAUUUAUUUCUGUCCCUUUUUUCAUCUAAAGCAACGGAAAUGAAUCAUCUUUCAGCCGGUUUAAUAAACAGCCCCAUGCCCCCUGACCCCAGCUGACUCUCUCACUGGUUCCUCUGUGGCUGCUCCUGGGCUAGGCCUCACCCCCUCACAGGCAAGACCCCCUCAUGGCUGGCUAUUCUUGGUAAUACUCUCCACCCUCCCUUCCUGCUCAGUCCUGGCAGCUUGACCUCCUCCACCCCAGGGAUGACGGGAAUCACACACAGCAUUCCAAGCGACAAUUCCACAAGCUGACCAUAGGGGCAGGGGAAGCAAGGAGGCCACCAUGUUUGGAGGGUUUCUUUGUGCCAUUUCAAUGACCCUAUUAGUGGAUCUUACGCUCUCCAUUUAACAGUU